rnacentral:lncRNA from 1 species
AAAAUCUGGCAAGAUAAGAAACAAGUUAUGGUUAUCUAGGUAUGUUAUUGUUGUUCUUAUAUUUAAAAAAUCCACCGUAGAUUUUGCUCUGUUUUGUAUCUAUCAUCGUUACCUUUAUUUUAUAUUUUUUAUUCAACUACUUCAGUACUACGACGAGUUAUUACGACUUUAUCAAUACAGUAGGUCGUAGAUUAUAUAGUAGUAAAACUGUGAUGUGUGUGUAUAUAUAUAUGUAUAUGACUUUGUGUUUAAAAAUAAUACAGAUAACUCAAAUUUUCAUCAUUUUUUAAUUAUUUUGGAUUGUUGCUAUCUUUUUCUGUAAGAAUAUUAUUCUUACUCAUACAUUUUGGUUUUUUCAGGAAAUUUUAUGCAUGUCAAUUUCCGUUGAAGCAUUCAUCAAGCAAUCGAAACAAAAAAUCAAUUAUUAAUUUUCUUUUUCAUGAAAUUGUUGAUAUCAUGCAACAACGUCCACGCUUUUAAGAUAUUAUUUCGCAGCCUGCUGGUGGAGGAGAUAUGCAACUACGUCCAUGCUCUUUUAUUUAUUCGAAGUGGGGCUUUUCUAUGUCGCCUCUACGUUAAUUAGCUGAGUAGUUCGCCUUACAAUGGAUUUUCAUAUGGACAUUUAAAGAAAAUAACAUGUAUCAAGUUUGAUCAUUUUGUAAGAUUGGAAGAUUUGAGAUUGUAAAAAAUAAGCUAUUCAAUAAAGCCAUGUGCAUUCAAUAAAGAUUUACAGGUACUUUAUCUACAUGUAUUGUCACAUAUAAUUGUUUCAUUCAAUUUUGAGACGAAAAUUGGUACAAGUUUGGUUAUAUUGCAAUGCAGACGCAGAAGAGGAGGAUGUUGGACUUUCAAGAUUCGUCCUUUUUUUUAUUUUCAUGUGUUGAUGGUUUUCUUGCUUCCAACAAAUUGAGGCAAGUUGAUUAUUUGAUUCGGCCUUUCCAGAAACCUACAUAUAGCGGAAGCUUAAUGCACGGAGCUAUUCUUGAGGCAAGUUGAUUAAUUUGUUAGUACUUUAGCAAUGUAUAAGAGGAUUAGGAGGAAUAACAAGGACCUUGAAAUAAUUUUGGCAAGAUAUAAUAUUUAAGAUACAAUAUUUAUUUAUAUAAUAUAAAUAG